UACGUAGGUGGCAAGCGUUGUCCGGAUUUACUGGGCGUAAAGGGCGUGCAGGCGGUCUGUUAAGUGCAGGGUGAAAGCGUCCCGGACUCAACCUGGGAGAGGUCCUUGCAUACUGGCGGACUUGAGGGGGGUAGGAGGAAAGUGGAAUUCCCGGUGUAGUGGUGGAAAUGACGUAGAUAUCUGGAGGAACACCGGUGGCGAAGGCGGCAUCCUGGACCGAUAUUGACGCUGAUGCGCGAAAGCCAGGGGAGCAAACGGG
rnacentral:rRNA from 1 species